UACGCUCGACUUCAGCAAUGGUCACCUAGAAAAGAACGAACCCAUUCCCAAAUUUUUGCCUCUUCAAUUCCCCUUUUCUCCUUCAAUUCGUACCUUUAAGCGUGCCUAGCACGAGCUCGAGGAUAACUGGAGGUUUCCAGAACGUUCCCAGCAACAUUAUCCUCUCAAUGUCCUUUCCUUUUGCCAAUUUUCGUUCAAAAAUGGUACGAAUUUGUACACUACCUAGUUGGCAAUCCUUAUCCGCUUAAGAAUUUUGAAAAAAAUGCCCAAUUCUCACAUCGUUUCCCCCCUCAAUUUCAACCCAAAAGUUGUCCUAUAUAAACUCCUCCCUUCUGCUGUUCAUAGUGGCGUUUUGAGACCUGAGAGUACCCCUAAAAAGGUUUAGGAAUUCUCGUCUUUGUAGUUUAAAAUUUUGUGGUUGCUCGAGUUGAAAGAAGUGGAAUCGUCUCCGUCAAACUCGCCGUCCAGUUCGCUGCCCCCUACCAGGUAAUCUUUUCUUUAUUUCAACAUUUUCGUUGGCUCUUAAUUAUGUCUUAUUCAUUGAAAUUUUGUUUGGCAUUAGCUGUUUAAAUAUGUUUUCAGUAGCUUAAAAAAUUGUAAAAUUGCUUAUCUUUGAAUUCGACUAAUUUAUAUGUGAGAUGGCCAAGCCUUCCUCUCGGUUAAUUAAAUUUCAGCAUUUUCUAUUGUCUAAAGAUAAGUUUAAUCAGUGUUGAGUGCAGUUAGAGUUGUGAUUUUUUUUUUGUAUUCAAGCAUUCCUAGUUGUUAGUUCGAAGUCUGUAACUUGCAUUUAUUUUUAUUUGGAAAUCUCUUGAAUACCUAGUUUUCUCUUGAUUGAUUCACUUAUCUAAGUGGUAACAAAAUUUGAAAUAUGGAGUUGUACAUUCCCAUUCAUGAUCAGUGAAAUGCUCUUCCCUUUUAUCUAAUCUUUUUAUGUGGUUAAACAUUCAUUUACAUGUUUGGGCUGUAUGUAUACCUUUGGAUUUCACAUAUCAGUAGAGUAUUAUGCAUUCCUUCCCUUGUUUACAUUCCAUCCAGUUCCCUUUUCACAAUGUGGGUACCUUACUUGCUUCUUGUGUUAAGGAUAUUAUUUGUUUUGGAAUCAUGAGUUGAUCCUAUGUUUAGUUGAGCUCUAGAUGAAGUUGAGUUUUAGUUCAACUUCUCUUUGGUUGCUCCUAAAUCCCUUAGAUCCUCAUGUCACUCCUUUGAGCUACAGAUCCUAAAUUGCGUACAUUGGCUUGGUUUGGAUUUUGUCCUAUUUGUUGAUUAUUAGUUUAAAUUUGGAUGUUACAUAUCCGUUGUUCUAUUUGAGAGUUCAUAUGUCUUGUAAUCAUGAUCUUUUAUUGGUUUGCUCAUUUUCUUAAAUGGUAGAGCUUGUUCUUCCCUUAUUUUUAUAAUUUUCAUGUCAGUUUAAAGAACUCAGCAUGUCAGCCUGAAGUACUUUGAAGUCCUCGCUAUGAUCUGUUAUUUUCGCUACCUUCAACAUAAUUAAGUUAAUACAUGUCAUUUAGUCUUAUGUGAUUUUCGUGUUAUGUUGCCUUGUUCAUUCACAGUCCUACCAGAUGUUUAAACUUAAAAUCUAAAAAGAGAUUUGAGUUUCGUACACUGAGUAGUGUUGGGUUUUGUCUUGGUGUGAUACUUGUAUGAAUCUGUUUCAAGUUCCUUAUUGGUUUGAUCAAAGUUGUAUUUAGUAGGAGGUUACUUGAUAGCAAAAUGGAUUAAGAAGGCUUUGUUUAGUUGUUGCUUUAUUUUAAGUUGUGGCUGCAUAUUGUCAUUGUUGUUUUGCUUACACUAAUUGCGAACUGCUUAUGAAAUGGUAUGUCGUUCAAGCAUUUUCGAUUACAAAAUGUGUUCCCCUGUUCAUUUACUGAUCGUAGGUGCAAAGAUAUCAACUCUUUUUUUCUUUAACAAUUUGUUGUUAAUCUAAUCUCAAAAUGACAUAAAUCUUCCAAGUGCUAUCCUUGAAUACUCUUAGAUAUUCUUUGUUGUAAUUCUAGUUCAAUAACUCUUGAUAGGAUUCUGUUUAAAUUUAACCUGCUUUUGGUAGAUUUCUUAAUUGUUGUGUUUAAAUAUGGUCAUAUGUGUCAUGUUUUAAAUUAAAUUCGUGUUGACAUUAGCUUGUCCCUUAAGCAAUGAGUUUAUACUUACUUGAUGUAGUUCUUUCUUUAGUUCAUAUUUGCGGGAUGUCAAGUCUAAACUAAAAUCUGGAAAAUCUCUAUCUUUAUUUUAUUUCGCUGAUAGAUAAUUAUAGUCAAUUGUUCAGUAUAAUUUCAGUAGUUAUAAGUAUGUCACUUAGAUUUUUGGAGCAUACAUGACAUUGUUUGCAUAGCCAGACUUCUCAUACGUUGAUUGAUUGUUUUCAGCUUUGAUUUAAUAUCAUCUUAAUAAUGUUGUUAAUCUUUCUCUCUUUUUCUUGGUGCAUGAAUACUUUCCCCUCGAGUCCUUGGACUCCUUGCUCCCUUGCAUUCUCCUCUCUUUGAGUCAACUUCCAUCAAGUCGUGACAGGGAAGCUAAUAUCAUCGGGUUAAAUUUCAAAUCAUUGGCAGCAGUUCAAUAGCAGAGUUACAACACUCCCAAAGGCUGAAAGUUGGAAAAUUUGGACAUAAAAGAAUCGAAUUCGACUGAAGUAGCAGAAGCCCCAAAGGGCUGAAAAUUUGAAGUUUUUGGACUUUCAAAAAUAAAAGUCCAAUGUUCAGCAGAUUACGGCAAUCUCGACAGCAUUGGGAAACUGGAAGUCCGGAUUAUUCACUCUUGUUUGCCCAUUUUCUUUGUUAUUAUUUAGAUGACCCCUAAUGUUUUUGUUUUUCAUAACUUGGAUGAAUCCUUUGGAGGUUUUUAAUGGCUUUCUAUUUCGUCAUCUUUAAGUAUUCAAUUUUUAAACUCUUUUAAGUUAGGCAAUCUAAGCUUUAAGACUAACUUGAGAAUUAUCCAUAUUUUUUCAUAGUUAGUAAUUAGCUUUGAAUCCACGUUGAUGAGAUUGAGCUAACCAUUUAGUUCAAAAUCUUAACUCGGAUAAAAUGUUAAGUUAAAAUUAUUGUUUU
rnacentral:lncRNA from 1 species